rnacentral:misc_RNA from 1 species
AACGCACAUUGCGCCCCCUGGUAUUCCGGGGGGCAUGCCUGUUCGAGCGUCAUUACAACCCUCAAGCUCUGCUUGGUGUUGGGCCCCGCCGCCCCGGCGGGCCCUAAAAUCAGUGGCGGUGCCGUCUGGCUCUAAGCGUAGUAAUUCUCUCGCUAUAGGGUCCAGGUGACCACCUGCCAGAACCCCCCCAUUCUUUAUGGUUGACCUCGGAUCAGGUAGGGAUACCCGCUGAACUUAA